CUCGUAGGCGGCCCACUAAGUCAGAUGUGAAAUCCCCAGGCUCAACCUGGGAACUGCAUCUGAUACUGGUGGGCUUGAAUUCGGGAGAGGGAUGCAGAAUUCCAGGUGUAGCGGUGAAAUGCGUAGAUAUCUGGAGGAAUACCGGUGGCGAAGGCGGCAUCCUGGACCGACAUUGACGCUGAGGAGCGAAAGCGUAGGGGAGACGAAAC
rnacentral:rRNA from 1 species